UACGUAGGGGGCGAGCGUUGUCCGGAGUUACUGGGCGUAAAGCGCUUGUAGGCGGUCCACCAAGUUUGGGGUGACAGUUGCCGACUUAAUCGGCAAAGUGCCUCAAAGACUGGCGGACUUGAGGGCCACAGAGGGGCAUGGAACUCCAGGUGUAGUGGUGAAAUGCGUAGAUAUCUGGAAGAACACCAAAGGCGAAGGCAGUGUCCUGGGUGGUUGCUGACGCUGAGAGGCGAAAGCCAGGGGAGCGAACGGG
rnacentral:rRNA from 1 species